AAUUGGAUAGACUUGCCCUAAAUGC
rnacentral:piRNA from 1 species